AUUAUAAUAUAAUAUAUUAUGAAAUAAAAUUAACUAGAUUUUCCCAUGUACACAAAUAUCACAAUUAUUUAAUGUUUGAAUCAUAGGAACAAAAAUCCACUUGAAAUGUGAGAACAAUCAUGUGGUCUUUACACAAGCACAACCCAUCCCACACACUAAAUGCAUGAUGUUCUUCUUACCCUUUUGCUCUCUUUUCCCCUUAUUCCCAAUAUAACAAUAAAAGCCAAACCUUAUAAAAGAGGGAAGAAAAUCCAUAUCUGUGAUUGGGAGAGGUCAGAGCACAAAAACGGCACACCACUCACAACUUUUGAUCCAGGCGACUUGUUUCUUUGUGGCAAUAGCGGCACUCUCAUACUCUCUCUCUCUUUCUCUCUCUCUCAUAUAAAUACAACCCAUCCUCACUCACAGUCCCCCCAAAUAAGGGAGAGAGAGAGAGAGACGAAAACCCAAAUAAAAUAAAACCCUAAUUCCCAAAACCAGAUAUAUAUAUAGAGAGAGAGAGUCUGAAAGAGAAGCCUCUCCGAAGUCGAAACCCUAGUUUAGAUGUAGAAUUUUGUUUUACAUUAUAGAUAUAUAUACUCCUCCCACGGCCAGUUUUGGUUUGUUCUUCACCACCACCUUGAAUUGUUUCUCUCUCUCUCUCUCUCUUUCUCGAACCUUCUCGAUCCGUCAAAAGCAUAAAGCUUCUUACUUUCCAACUCCUCUGGCCCCAUCUCUGCCCUAAUUCGACAAUUUGAGCUUCGCUGACCAGAACCCCCAAACCGGACGGAAGGGCAGUUUCGUAAAUUGGUUUAAUUGGGAGGUCAAAUUCGCUCGCUGUGUGUGUUAUUGAGCAUUGGUUCGUGAAGCUCGGCUCUUUAAUCAGUCAAUUGGGUUUUGGGUUUCGGAAUUGGCAGUUGCUUUGAGUUUGGGGCUCACCGGAGUCUGGAACAGUGGGCAAGAAGAGGAGGAAGAAAGAGUUGGAAUUACUAAUUUGUCCUCGUGAUCUGGUAUACUACCAGUAGAAGAACAAUUCGGGAUUCAUGUCAGAGGAGGGGUUCUGCUCUUGAUUUGUACAUAGAGACGGAGAGCAAAGUGGAUUCCAUUCGCAGAGAAAGAGAGUGAGUAAGGGCAGAUAAGGGAGAGAAAAGUAAGAGAGGAGAGAGAUAGUCCUUGUUUUCUUGUUCUUUCUGGUUGGUCAUAGACUGUUAGAGGCUUGUUGAUAACUGGCGACCAUUUUAUGAGACAUUGACCCAUGGAUCCUGAAGGAGCAAAGUUUGGAAGAGGACCAAGAGAGCUGACUGGUGCCGUAGAUCUCAUAAGUCACUACAAAUUGCAAGCACACCAUGAGUUUUUCUGCAAGCGUUCGCUUCCUGUAUCAAUUUCAGACACACACUAUACCCACAAUGUGGUGGGAGACACAGAAAUCAGAAAAGGAGAGGGAAUGCAAUUGGAUCAACUUAUUCAGAGUACAUAUUCCAGGGAUACUAAACCUCGAAUACAGCCUUUUGACCUAGAUAUUCUCAGAGAGGCCUUCCAACUUAAAGAGACUGCUCCUAUUGAUUUGCCAUCUGCAGAUAAGGGGACUCCAACUAUUGCAGGGAAAUCAAAGAGCGGGUCUAAAGACAAGGAGAGGAAACACAAAAAGCACAGAGACAAAGACAGAGACAAAGAUAAGGAGAAGGAGAAAGAACAUAAGAAGCACAAACACCGGCAUAAAGAUCGAAGUAAAGAUAAAGACAAGGAGAAGAAAAAGGAGAAACAUGAUUCGGCGGGUGAUCCCUCAAAGAAACAUGAAAAGAAAAGGAAACAUGAUGGAGAUGAAGAUCUUAAUGAUGUUCAGAGACACAAAAAAAGUAAGCAUAAGAGCUCAAAACUAGAUGAAGUUGGUGUGAUCAAAGUAGCUGGCUGAGUGUUGGAAUAUUUAGUUAUUGUGUUUUCUUCAAAUGGUUAUGUCAUUCAUAGUUUGGAGGGGCCUUUCAUCUGAUAUUGUUUUUCUUGAGAAUAACCUAGGAACUGACUAAAGAUUGUGAAGAAGGUGAAUUCACCUGCUGAGAAAUAUGUGGAUUGAAGGUAAAAUGUACUGAAAAUGAACUCCUUUGUAGUUAACAAUGAUCUAAUAUGGCCACCAGUAAUUUGAGAGAGGAAAAAAAAAAAACUCUGUUCUGUUUUCAAGUGACACUGGAUAUCAUUGCAUGUCCACAGUAUUAUGAUCCUUUUGGAUUUUCUACGAGUACAGAGUUUAUGAUUUUUGACGUAGACGUCGUAGUUUCCAGAUACUUGGAAAAUGAUGUUAGGAAGAGAUCGUGCAUAUUGAUCCCUAUGGUCCUAUUUGUUGUACAAUGGCUAGCACCACUGAUAAACCCAAAUAAAUGUAGGGCUAGGUUUAUGUCUGUUUUCAGAGGAAUUUGUAUGGAUAGCAGUUAAUACUUGUGCAUACAGAGGAAGUAAUGGUAGGUAUAUGGCACGGUCAUUAUUCCUGCUGGUUAUAUUUUUGGCAUGACUGGUGUUUUUCAUGUUCAUAUUGUCAACUUCUCGUGGUGUUCUUUCUUCUGAGUUUUAGGUUAUAAUAAACGGAAGUUUGUCAGUUCUCAUCCCUGCGCCAUACACCAAUAUGUCAACUUUAGAAGUGAGGUUUGUUAAAACUAGUGCUGAGUCUGUAAUUAGCAAAACUAUUUUGGUCAUUGUCCAGUUUUACUAGACCCCUCCAUUAUAGAGAGAAGCCUCCCUAGAUGUGUCAGAAAGAAAGGAAGAGAAAGUAAUUGUUUUUAUGAAGAAGGAAAAUGUGAUCAGCCUGAAAAAAAAA